UUUGUCCUACGGGGGGCAGCAGUGGGGGAUAUUGCACAAUUGGGGAAACCCUGAUGCAGCGACGCCGCGUGUGGGAAGACGGUCCUCUGGAUUGUAAACCACUGUCCCCAGGGACGAAGAUGACGGUACCUGGGGAGGAAGCUCCGGCUAACUACGUGCCAGCAGCCGCGGUAAUACGUAGGGAGCAAGCGUUGUCCGGAAUUACUAGGUGUAAAGGGAGCGUAGGCGGGAUGGCAAGUUGGGUGUUAAACCUACCGGCUCAACUGGUAGUCGCACUCAAAACUGCUAUUCUUGAGUGAAGUAGG
rnacentral:rRNA from 1 species